rnacentral:rRNA from 1 species
GAUGAACGCUGGCGGCGUGCUUAACACAUGCAAGUCGAACGAUGAAGCCCAGCUUGCUGGGUGGAUUAGUGGCGAACGGGUGAGUAACACGUGAGUAACCUGCCCUUGACUCUGGGAUAAGCCUGGGAAACUGGGUCUAAUACUGGAUAUGACUUCUCAUCGCAUGGUGGGGGGUGGAAAGAUUUAUUGGUCUUGGAUGGACUCGCGGCCUAUCAGCUUGUUGGUGAGGUAAUGGCUCACCAAGGCGACGACGGGUAGCCGGCCUGAGAGGGUGACCGGCCACACUGGGACUGAGACACGGCCCAGACUCCUACGGGAGGCAGCAGUGGGGAAUAUUGCACAAUGGGCGCAAGCCUGUUGCAGCGACGCCGCGUGAGGGAUGACGGCCUUCGGGUUGUAAACCUCUUUCAGUAGGGAAGAAGCGAGAGUGACGGUACCUGCAGAAGAAGCGCCGGCUAACUACGUG